rnacentral:rRNA from 1 species
UACGUAGGGGGCUAGCGUUGUCCGGAAUCAUUGGGCGUAAAGCGCGUGUAGGCGGUCCGGUAAGUCCGCUGUGAAAGUCGGGGGCUCAACCCUCGAAUGCCGGUGGAUACUGUCGGGCUAGAGUGCGGAAGAGGCGAGUGGAAUUCCUGGUGUAGCGGUGAAAUGCGCAGAUAUCAGGAGGAACACCAAUGGCGAAGGCAGCUCGCUGGGACGGUACUGACGCUGAGACGCGAAAGCGUGGGGAGCGAACAGG